GCCCAGUCGUAAACUUUUACUUACAUUUUAAUCGCCAGGGAACUACGAGCUAAGCUUAAAACCCAAAGGACUUGACGGUACCCCAUAUCCCCCUAGAGGAGCCUGUCCUAUAAUCGAUAAUCCACGUUUAACCUCACCAUUUUUAGUUAAUCAGCCUGUAUACCUCCGUCGUCAGCUUACCACGUGAGCGCCAAUUAGUGAGCCUAAUGUUAUUUCACCAACACGUCAGGUCAAGGUGCAGCAAAUGAAAUGGGAAGAGAUGGGCUACACUUUCUAUUAUAGAAGAAACGAAAAACUACCUAUGAAACCUAGUUGGAAGGCGGAUUUAGCAGUAAAAAGGAAUCAGCAUAUCCAUUUUAACCCGGCACUGGGGUGUGU
rnacentral:rRNA from 1 species